CUCUAGGUUGUGUGGAGGGAGACAGUUUUAAUCAGUCAAAUGUGGUUGUGUGGAGGGAGACAAUGUUAAUCAGCUUAACAAUAACCCACAACCGUCGGACCAACUGCAA